rnacentral:tRNA from 1 species
AGAGGUAUAGCUCAACCCGGUUAGAGCAACGGCCUUUUAAGCCGCGGAUUUAGGUUCAACUCCUAAUACCCGUA